rnacentral:tRNA from 2 species
GGGGCGUUAGCUCAAUUGGUAGAGCUGCGGACUUUUAAUCCGUAGGUUCUGGGUUCGAGCCCCAGGCGCCCCACCU